rnacentral:ncRNA from 1 species
AGUGUCCGUGCUUAGCUUAGCUCGCAUGGCGAACAGUUUCCAGUGGCACCACGUGGAGGAACGGACAUCGCCACCACGCAUCUUCCCGCAGUGGUCCUCCGAAAUCGAAAAAAGUGCGUUACACAAGCCUUACCUGCAUAUUCGCACCCCUAUAAGAUUGUCUCUUCUUAAGCUAUACCAUUGUACUUUGGUACACUGCUAUAUCGUUUUACUGCUUACAAGACCAGGAGUUGCAGCGGAAACGAUUCGAACUUCACAGAGUUAUUGCGCUCCGAACAGCCCGCGCGUGCAAUUUGCAAGCGGUGGCCCCUUUCGAUUGAUAGGUUCGAUCCUGCAUUGUGUACGUCGCACUCCAAAGGCUAGCUGGAUAGCUUUAGAGCAAUUCCUGAGUAGGACGGCUGGGAAUUUCCGAUAAAGCUUUUCAAACGCUCACUCUACAAGCUCUCGCGCCCCCUCGAUUGAUAGGUUUGAUUCUGCAUGCACUGUUCACGUUGCACUCCAAAAGCAAGCUGGACAGUCUUAGAGCAAUUCCUAAGUAGGGCGGCUGGGAAUUUCCGAUAAAAUUUCCCAAAGGCUCACUCUACAGUCUGUCGCGCCCACUCGAUUGAUUAUGUCCGGCCCAUAUGCAUUGUUCAACUCUAUUGAAGGUAAAGCUCGAGCUGCUGAGCGCAUACAGAUGUUUCUCUUCACAAGUGCUUGAUUAAAAAAGGUAUUUAAAAAAGCCGCUUUGGAACGCUCCAAAGCGUUCAUUUCGGCAAUUGACCAAAUCAUAUGCGUGGUACUGCAGGUGUGCAAUUGGACAACAGCAUGUCUGUUUCACAAGUUUUCUGUGUUGUGCGAUCAGUGUUAAGGAAAGUUUGAACAGAUAUAUAAUAGUUGAUUUGGUUAAAUUUCUGACAUCCUUCACGUCAUAAAUAAAAUAUGUUACCUGAAACAUGUUUCCAACUUUGAAUAUCCUUAUAGGCGUAAGAUGCAAGUCACAAUCAUCCGUUCGCUCAAAAAUGUGAGAAAGUUGAGAUUAUAGGUCCUCUUCGAAGAUAGGUCACAAAACGCAAGAACGCCAUCACCGACUGGAACCGAACCCAUGAGCCCAAUCCUGUGAAGCGAGCGCUCGACCAUUGUGCCGCUGCCGCUGCUGUCAGCGCUGCCAACCGACCUCUGAUUACACAACACUGCGCCCAACGCUGAUUGAGCGCGCCUAACAUGAAGCAGAUAACGCGGCUUCCGCCGGCCACAAAUCGCUUAGGAGAUCCAUAUAAAUAGGAAAUUUGGGCUACGUAUUUGUGAUCAGCGUCUCGAGCUCUUUCACGUGAUAUGAGUCUCAAUCCGAAGUUCCACGGGAAGCUGACGGCGUUCCCUGGUUAUUGUUAAGCACGGCCACCCGGUGGCCGUGCGAUCUCGCCCAAAAGUUUCAGGCGGGAAGUUUGACUGCAGCGGUACAUCUGUCAAACUGUACCGCAGGUGUCCUAAGGCUAGCUCAGAGAGGACGUAAACCUCUCGUAGAGCAAAAAGGGUAAAAGCUCGCUUGGUCUUGACUUUCAGUACGAGUACGACCGCGAAAUCGUGGCCUAUCGAUCCUUUUAGUCCAGAUGGUUUCUGGUAAGAGGUAUCAAAAAAGUUACCACAGGGAUAACUGGCUUGUGGUAGUCCAACGUCCAUAGCGACAUUGAAUUUUGAUCCUUCGAUGUCGGCUCUUUCCAUCAUUGCGAAGCAGAAUUCGCCAAACUUGAGAUUGUUCACCCACUGGUAGGGAACGUGAGCUGGGUUUAGACAGUCGUGAGACAGGUUAGUUUCACCCUACUGUCGACUAAUUGAUGCGAUAGUAAUCCUGUUUACGAGGGAGGUCAGUGAAAUCGGUUCGGAGAUUCGGAGCGGGUUUGACAUCACCCCACACGACAAAACUAGCUUCUUUACAUCUGACAACAGGUUGGAAUCGGGGUUAGGAAGCGAAGAAGGUAUCCUACCGAAGUACUCUUUGUUAGCAAAAAAGGGAGCACUCUACAGAAUAAAUCGCAUAGACACCCCCGGAAUCGAAUCCUCGACCUUCUUCCGUAAGUCCGCCGCGCUAUCCACUCGGUCAUCCAGUCGCUGCCACCAACGUUGCAAAUGAAUCACUUGAAUGUGCACUGCAGCUUCGUCUAAGAAACAGGAAAUUAUCGUAUACCUAUAAUCUAACUUUAAUUUGAGCCCAAAACCUUUUGUAGGUCAAGUUCUGAGCACGACAGGACCAUACCAUGCGUUAUCAGCCCGCCCUGAAGUAAUACCAUUUUUUCCAUUUUUGGACCACCCAGGGAUUUAUCAAGUACGAAACACAGCUCUGUGAUCCUCGUCCGAUGCCCCACAAGACCGUAUAGGUCUCGUGGGAAUCUCCGGACCGAGUUCACUGACUCCCCUCGUUAGUACGAGAGGAGCAGCAGGUUCAGACAUUUGGUUCAUGGACUUGGCCGUUCGCUCAAUGGUCCGAAGCUACCAUCUGGGGGAUUAUGACUGAACGCCUCCAAGUCAGAAUUCCACCUAGUCAAGGCAGCGAUAACUUUGUUUCCCGGCAUCGAGAGGCAACUCUAUCUCGUGGCAACACGAGAGCAUAUGCCCUAGUAAAUGACCUUGCCGGUAUGGAUAAUCUUUGGUGGUUGUCAAACCAAGAUCGCUCUGGUUCAAUGUCGGGGUGCAAAAUCACAUGUUUACGACAUGUAUGCUGGUCACGGUUUUGUGUCCAGUAGAGCAGUGUUUGCAUACUGCGAUCUGUUGAGACUGUCCUCUGAUCGGGUGUUUUGU